rnacentral:rRNA from 1 species
UACGUAGGGGGCUAGCGUUGUCCGGAUUUAUUGGGCGUAAAGAGCGUGUAGGCGGCCAGGUAGGUCUGCUGUGAAAACUCGAGGCUUAACCUCGAGACGUCGGCGGAAACCAUCUGGCUAGAGUCCGGAAGAGGAGAGUGGAAUUCCUGGUGUAGCGGUGAAAUGCGUAGAGAUCAGGAAGAACAUCGGUGGCGAAGGCGCUCUGCUGGACCAUAACUGACACUCAGGGACGAAAGCUAGGGGAGCGAAUGGG